GCCAAACAGUGUUGUAAUUAAUAUAGUUUCUGUGUGUUUAUUUGGAUCUGGGCAGCCGGGAAACGAAUGAGCAGUCUCUGUUUACACAGUGUUAUUUCCGUCCACAUAGUUGCCGUUCAGGGUCAUCUUGCCGUCUUGGCAGAAUUUUGUUUUUCUCAAGAAGAGAACUGCUCCCUUGAGCUUCCUGAAGGAGGCGUGGUCUUUGGUAUGAGGGUAGGCCUAAUGGACGUGUCGGAUGGUCAGUCAAGCCCGGUAAAUAGCAUUCACAUCUUUGCAUCCUAAAUUUUGCUCUGACAGGCCUCUUUAGCAUCCUGCUUGUACAGGCUGUAUCAUGGAAGUGGUGCUCCCUUAGCUGAAUUCUACUUUGUGUGUGUCUUAGUUAGGGUUUCUGUUGCUGUGAAGGGGCACAAUGACCCCAGCAACAUUAAGGCUGGCUUACAGUUCAGAGGUUUAGUCCAUUAUCGUCACAGUGGGAAGCGUGGUGGCAUACAGGCAGACAUGGUGCUAGAGAAGGAGUGGAGAGUUCUACAUCCUGAUCUGCAGGGAGCGGAAAAAGAACUGAGUCUCUGAGCCUGGACUUGAGCAUCUGAGACCUCAGAUCCCAGGCCGUGUCUUCAGUAAUUCUUUCUGCAAGUUUUGGUAACUGAUUUUUUUCUUUAAUUGAAUUGCCACUGUCAGAUGAAAGCAGCACAUUUCCCUAAAUUCUUAGCAUCACUGUUGGUGCAUUACCAAUAGGGAAAUAAUAGCAGCCCUGUUAACUGGUAUAGCCUGUUCCUGUUCUUUUUGUUCUGUCGGGGUAUAGUUUAAACCAUUAACUAUUUGACAGGUCGCCCAACUGUUGUAUACAUCCUUAUUAUUAUAGACAGCCAGGCUGGGGAGACCUAUUGCAGAGACGGUGAUGGCCACAGUCUCAGGUUUUGAGACAAGAGCGAUUUUAUUAUUAGUAUCCAGUCAGGGGCUCACUCUCUGAUAUCAGUGUCUUAUCAGGCUGUUUUUUUCCUGGACUGCUGGAAAAAUAAUAGUCUCCUUAAAUAUCGGUGGGCAUUGUGAGACAAGUUAACAGGAAUAUAGUUAUAGGUGGAUUAUUCACAAGUGAAAAGCCAUCCUUCAGGCAAAGAAAUAUGGCUGGCCCAUAGAGGAUGCCCUUGGUGUGGGAACAAUUUUAUUUGUCUCUUGGGAAUGUGUAACAUUUCUGGGUUCAGUUUUAUAUUUUAGCACACAUGCCGUUUGGAUGUCCUGUAACACAGAAAGUACGGGGUUCUACUGUGUCUAGUGUUUGCCAUUAAAAACUCUUCCCCAGUUGUAAGAAUCUUUAUAACAGACAGGCUUUGGGAUACCUGUUGAAGAGUUAACCUGGCUAGGCUAGCAAUAUCCUGACAAGUUUACAAAUGGGUAUAAGACAAAUGCCUAACAUAUGUUCAGCCUUUAACUUCUCUUUUAGACAGAAGUCAGUAGCACUUAGACUGCGAGCUAAUUUUAUCUAGGUGCUAUAAUGGAAAUGCUGUCCUAGCUACAGGUUUUAUUUCUACUUCUUUAAGCCCUAGAAUUGGACAGUCAAGGCAGAGAAGACGUAGUGAAAAGGUGAGUCGGGUUUGACAGUACUCAGGUAUUUUUGUGUCUUACAUGGACCUUGUGGACCCGGCUCCACCUCUGGGAGCCGGGUGAAUUUCACCUUGAAAGGAUGUUCUGAAUGAAUCACGGUCCACUCGCUGGCCAGGAAUGUCUGCUGCUCCCUUGAGCUGAGUGUGGUGAAUCCAGGAGUAAUCCCAGCAACAUUGACAACCAUGGCUGUGAUGAUGUGACCUUCAUCUGCCCCAUGUGCAUCAUUCUCCAUUCACCCCGAUAAACUGACAGGGUGGCACCCUUUCUGUUCCCAGGAAUGAAUCAGAGUGAGCUGUGUGGUUUCCAGAGCUGUAAAGGAAUGAUGGAGAUUUUAAUACUACACUCUCAGUAAAGGACAGAACACAGAGAAGAUGAGGACAAGUGGACAUCACACAAUAAACUAGCAAGAUCUAAUAGGCAUGUGGAGAUGUUCUCCAACCAAGAUAUGUUCAUUCUUCUCAAGGGCAAAUGAGAUGUUUUCCCGGAUAGAUUGUAAGUUGUGUGACCUGCUGGGAUGGCUGACGUUAUGUUUUAAGUUUAAAUUCCUGUGCUUAAGAGAUCUAUAGAACACAAAUGCCUCUAACCUGUAAGUCCCACUUGCCCAAGGACAGAUAACUUCCCGGGAUGCUGGGGGUUGCUCUUCAUGGAAGGUUACGAGUUACGUGACUUUGCUUCUGUAUAAACGCUUGGUUGCCGCAACUGCACAAGGCAUGCUUGAUUACAUGUACCCAGGAGGUACAUAGGCAGGAAGUAUGUCAAGAUGUGUGCCUGCCCCUAACUGGAUAAAGGAGAGAAGUACACAGCCUUGUGAGUUUUGUGGGUUUUGCCUUUAUAAGCCUCUAACUAAUUGGCAGCCAAGUACUGGGAACCUCAGGUGUGGACCUGGUUAGUGUCAAUAGUCCUGGCCAUUUAAUAAAGCUUCCAACCUGGCUCAGAGGGAACUGCUGUACUGAGAAAGAGAUGGAGGAGAGUCACGUGGUCGCUAUUUAAAACAUGUUUUCCUAAACAAGAGUUGAACCACAUGUGCACUAGUUGUAGCAAAUACAAUUUUACAUUUUCAACAUUAUACAAAAGUCCAUCCAAAAUGACGUGGAGACCUGUUGUCGUCUCUUCGGUAGGUUCAUUUCACCUGGUCACCUUUAAUCAAGAUGGUGGUGAAAUCAUAGGCCAUUUGUCUUCUCCAGCCCUAGCAAAGAUGGCAACCAGCCCUGUGGCUGCCUAAUGAUGUCGGCAAGUCAUGUGUUGCUUAUAUCCCAAAAUGAAAUCAUGCCACGUGGUUCCUUUAAAUUAUCUACACAUAGAUUUUUCACUAUCAACGCCCUGUUGUCGCAAGUUUUAAAUUGAGCUUUUUUGUUACAGAUUUUACAGUUUUUUAACCAAAAACAUUUGGUGGCUACCACCGUUCAUACAUUCAACUGAGCCUAAUCAAGUUCUGUCUAGGUUUCCAUGUUUGCAUACCAGAAAACACAUACCCAUACGCAUAUGCAAAACAGACAGACAAAGCAUUGUGACACUUAACUGGGCCUAACCGAUUUCUGUCCUAGCUUCCAGUAUCCAAACAAUUAGAACCAAGGGAGGGGGGCCAAUGUCUUGCUUUUUUGCCCUGGGCGGGAAGAUGUUGGGUCCCAUCAAACCCCUUCUCGUGCCAGAUUGGAAUCCCAGCAGAACCAGACGUCACAGAAAAUGACCAUGACUUACUAUGGGAGGUCUUCGUAGACACUUGCUGUUUUGCCAGACCAGCAGUUCAUUCUUUGUCUGCAGAACUGAAAGCCAGCCUUGAAACCUUGGUCCGUCUCAAGGGGCACACCUCCCAAGGUGGCCCUUCAGCCCCAGAGUCCCAGAGAGAUCUUCUGGCUUUAGAUUUGGGGGAAUGGUCUGAUCUUACUGAAAGCUGCCAGAAAAUGUUAGUCCCAUUGGGUGAGAAGAAGACCUCUCCCAAAAUUUUUGAGCCAGAUUUGAAACAAGCUUUAUUAAAUGGCCAAGACUAUGGAUUACAGUCAUGACCAAGUGGAAUUUGUUUCUGGGAUGCAAGGAUGGUUUGACAUAGAAUAUUGAUAACAUAAUAUGCUGAAUUAAUAGGAUGAGGGGGAAAUGAUAAUUUUAACUAGACAAAAGUGUCUGAUAAAAUUCAGUUCUUUUUCAUGAUUAGAAAUGCUCACUAAACUAUAAGUAGAAGGCAACCACUUAGCAUAAGAAGUGCCAUUUAUGUAAAACAGGCAAACACCACACUCAAUAAUGAAAGACCAAAAGUCUUCCAUUAAAAUCAAGAACAAGACAAGGAUACCUGUUUGUGCUUGUUGUAUUUAAAUAUCACUGCAAGACCUGACCAGAACAAUUAGGAAAGAAAAACGAAAAAUGGAUCUAAGUUGGAAAGCAAGAAGUAAAAAUUUCAUCUGUUUACAAAUAUUCUUUUAUACAUUAAAAGUUCUACAUUUUACCCACUCCCACCCCCACAAAGUUCCAUUAGAGCAUUCCAUUAGAGUUAUUUUACUAGUCUGGUAAAAUAACAGAGUCCAAAUUCUACACAUAGAAAACAGCUGAACUUUUAUACAACAUACGCCAACAAUGAAUGUGGCUUGUUUUAUGUCAAGUUGAGACUAGACAGAGUUAUCUGAAGGGAAGGAAUCUCAAUUGAGAGAAUAGCCUCCAUAAGAUCUGGCUACAGUGUAUUUUCUUAAUUACUGAUU